GACGAACGCGGGCGGCGUGCCUAAUACAUGCAAGUCGAACGAGAGCGACCGGCGCUUGCACUGGUCAAUCUAGUGGCGAACGGGUGAGUAACACGUGGGUAACCUGCCCAUCAGAGGGGGAUAACAUCCGGAAACGGAUGCUAAAACCACAUAGGUCUUCGAACCGCAUGGUUUGAAGAGGAAAAGAGGCGCAAGCUUCUGCUGAUGGAUGGACCCGCGGUGCAUUAGCUACUUGGUGAGGUAACGGCUCACCAAGGCCGUGAUGCAUAGCCGACCUGAGAGGGUGAUCGGCCACAUUGGGACUGAGACACGGCCCAAACUCCUACGGGAGGCAGCAGUAGGGAAUCUUCCGCAAUGGACGCAAGUCUGACGAAGCAACGCCGCGUGAGUGAAGAAGGUUUCGGAUCGUAAAACUCUGUUGUUAGAGAAGAACAAAGUGCUAGAGUAAACU
rnacentral:rRNA from 1 species